rnacentral:tRNA from 1 species
CGGCGGGUGGACGACGUACGACGCCUUCUCGAGGAAGGUGAAGACGUCGCCCGACUCGAAGGCGGGGUUCGGCUCCUUGGGCCACUGCCC